GAUGAACGCUGGCGGCGUGCCUAAUACAUGCAAGUCGAGCGAAGCGGGGACGGGUGAGUAACACGUGGAUAACCUCCUAUCAGACUGGGAUAACUUCGGGAACCCGACGCCAAACCGGACACUUAGACAUGGAUGCGCGCUGUAUUAGCUAGUUGGUAAGGUAACGGCUUACCAAGGCCACGAUGCAUAGCCGACCUGAGAGGGUGAUCAGCCACACGGGAACGGAGACACGGUCCAGAAUCCUACGAGAGGCAGCAGAAGGGAAUCUUCCGCAAUGGGCGAAAGCCUAACAAAGCCACGCCGCAUGGAUGAUGAAGGUCUACGGAUCGUAAAACUCUGUUAUUAGGGAAGCGGUACCUACACAAAAAGCCACGGCUAACUACGUGCCAGCAGCCGCGGUAAUAC
rnacentral:rRNA from 1 species